CAAUGCCGCGUGAGUGANGAAGGCCUUAGGGUUGUAAAGCUCUUUUACCAGGGAUGAUAAUGACAGUACCUGGAGAAUAAGCUCCGGCUAACUCCGUGCCAGCAGCCGCGGU
rnacentral:rRNA from 1 species